rnacentral:rRNA from 1 species
UACGUAGGGGGCGAGCGUUGUCCGGAAUCACUGGGCGUAAAGGGUGUGUAGGCGGAUGUUUAAGUCCGAUGUGAAAGGUCCUGGCUUAACCAGGGAGUUGCAUUGGAAACUGGGCAUCUAGAGUGCAGGAGAGGGAAGCGGAAUUCCUGGUGGAGCGGUGAAAUGCGUAGAUAUCAGGAGGAACACCAGUGGCGAAGGCGGCUUCCUGGACUGUAACUGACGCUGAGGCACGAAAGCUGGGGGAGCGAACAGG